rnacentral:rRNA from 1 species
AACGAACGCUGGCGGCGUGGAUAAGACAUGCAAGUCGAACGGGGCAGGGUAGCAAUAUUCUGUUCAGUGGCGAACGGGUGCGUAACACGUGGGCAACAUGCCCGGAAGUGGGGGAUAGCCCGGGGAAACUCGGAUUAAUACCGCAUACGAUUUGAGGGUGGCUUCACUCUCUUCUCAAAGGUGGGGAUCGUAAGACCUGCCGCUUCCGGAUUGGCCCGCGGCCUAUCAGCUAGUUGGUGAGGUAACGGCUCACAAAGGCAACGACGGGUCGCGGGUCGGAGAGGACGAACAGCCACACUGGAACGGAGACACGGUUCAGACACCUACGGGUGGCGGCAGUCGAGAAUCUUUCACAAUGGGGGAAACCCUGAUGGAGCGACGCCGCGUGGAGGAUGAAGGUCUUCGGAUUGUAAACUCCUGUCAAGUGAGAACAAGGAAUGUGGGUUAACACCCCGCAAACUUGCUGGUAUCACUAGAGGAAGGGACGGCUAACUUCGUGCCAGCAGCCGCCGUAACAC